rnacentral:SRP_RNA from 1 species
CGCUAGGCUUGACCGGGACGUUCGGCGUGUCCUUCUACACCAAAACCGUCGUCAGUGGGGGUGACAGCUGGGGACGUCGUAACCGAACCGGCGCCAGUCCAGAUACCAACAAUGAGGCUCUGUCCGAUGGGGCUGAAGGUGGCAUCUAGGUCCAGCUGGAGGGCGGGAUCGAGUGCCUUCGCCGCGGAGAUCGGGUCAGGCCCUGACGGGAGCAGCCUUACCGCGAACUCUCAACGCUCACCGGGAAGCGGGGCCGAGGCGGUUUCUGGGUAGCUGACGUUCGGAGAGGUCGGCAACCUCAGUGGCCUAGCA